ensembl:lncRNA
AUGUGUGCAGAUGUGUCUGGCAUUAUUGCGGCUAACGAGGUUAGAAUGCGAUCGGCAGACGUGAAAAAUGAGUUUAUAGGGAUAUCUUCCAGUGUUGCUUCAAUUGUAAAGCAUAAAAUGCAAAAUGUGUGUAGCUGGAAGAAGUCAGUUCUUAAAGACAUUCAUAGCGAGGGAUCAAAAUUAUUUAGUGAUGGAUCUUUAUGUCAAAAAAUGCUCAAAGGUAAUGGAGAUUUACAUUUUUCUCAUUGGAUUAGUGGUCAACACACUGUUUUCAACAAAAUAUGUGAAGUAUCAGUAGAACAGAGACCCGAUGUAAAAAAGAGUGAGCUGUAUGAGAGCGUACAGGAAAUUUUCUUUAGUUACGAAUCUUGCCUGUUAGCCAUAAAUGGAGAGUUCUGCGCGAUCAUGAAGCACAAUGAUUAUUAUGUCGUUGUAGACUGUAAUGUUCGUAACGCAUCUGGUCUGGGAUCAGAUAUAGGCACAUCAGUUGUGAUUUUUAACACUAAUUGGCAAGAUCUGAUUUUGCACAUAGAUGCUCUCAUGGUGAGUUUGAGUGCAGAUACCCUGAAUAUAUGUGGUGUCAAGGUACAGGUUAUCGAAUCAGAAAUGUCGGCAUGUAACAGCAGUGUUAAGGUAGAAACUAGUGAAUGCCCUGCAAACAACAUUGACGAAAGUCCAGUGUUUCCAUCAAAUGAAAGGAAAAGUGUUCGUGGAUCAUUUCAUCAAGGAGACUUUAAGUUCAAGUGGCCAGGAAGACAGUGUGUUGCUGUUAGUUUGGCUGCUAUGGCAAUGCACAAUGUACAAAGUGUGUUCUCAUGGGAAACCUGUGAUUUAGACAACGUGGUAAAUCUUGGUGAUAGCUUGUAUUCAGAUUUGCAUCAAAGUGGUUCAAUUACUGAUCCAACUGAAGAUAAGUUGCUAUGUAUUCCAGAUCUUCCUCAGGAAUAUGUGUUCAAAACAAAUGCGUUCAAAUUUGAAUAUGGCAGGUGUGUUUCUGGAAGUGUAGAUGUUGUUGAUGGAGAAUUUCUUAGGUCUGGUGCAUGUGUGACAUUAGCUGAUGGUUUGAAAAUUAUACUUGACAAAUAUGACACAUGUUUUUUUACCUUGAAUGGUAAUACUUGUGCCAUUAUUAAACAAAAUACACAAUUUGCUGUGGUUGAUUCUCAUGCACGUAGCAGUUCUUGA